UACAGAGGUCCCAAGCGUUGUUCGGAUUCACUGGGCGUAAAGGGUGCGUAGGUGGUUAGGUAAGUCCGAUGUGAAAUCUCCAGGCUCAACCUGGAAAUGGCAUUGGAUACUAUCUAGCUUGAGGAGUGGAGGGGGGACUGGAAUUCUCGGUGUAGUGGUGGAAUGCGUAGAUAUCGGGAGGAACACCAGUGGCGAAGGCGGUUGCCUGGGGCUUUGCUGACGCUGAUGCGCGAAAGCGUGGGGAGCGAUCCGG
rnacentral:rRNA from 1 species